UACGAAGGGUGCAAGCGUUACUCGGAAUUACUGGGCGUAAAGCGUGCGUAGGUGGGUCGUUAAGUCUGAUGUGAAAGCCCUGGGCUCAACCUGGGAAUGGCAUUGGAUACUGGCGACCUAGAGUGCGGUAGAGGGGUGUGGAAUUCCCGGUGUAGCAGUGAAAUGCGUAGAUAUCGGGAGGAACAUCUGUGGCGAAGGCGACACCCUGGACCAGCACUGACACUGAGGCACGAAAGCGUGGGGAGCAAACAGG
rnacentral:rRNA from 1 species